rnacentral:rRNA from 1 species
AGUGAACGCUGGCGGUAGGCCUAACACAUGCAAGUCGAACGGCAGCACAGUAAGAGCUUGCUCUUACGGGUGGCGAGUGGCGGACGGGUGAGGAAUACAUCGGAAUCUACUUUUUCGUGGGGGGUAACGUAGGGAAACUUACGCUAAUACCGCAUACGACCUACGGGUGAAAGCAGGGGAUCUUCGGACCUUGCGCGACUGAAUGAGCCGAUGUCGGAUUAGCUAGUUGGCGGGGUAAAGGCCCACCACGGCGACGAUCCGUAGCUGGUCUGAGAGGAUGAUCAGCCACACUGGAACUGAGACACGGUCCAGACUCCUACGGGAGGCAGCAGAGGGGAAUAUUGGACAAUGGGCGCAAGCCUAAUCCAGCCAUACCGCGUGGGUGAAAGAGGCCUUCGGGUUGUAAAGCCCUUUUGUUGGGAAAGAAAAGCAGCAGGUUAAUACCCCGAUGUUCUGACGGUACCCAAAGAAUAAGCACCGGCUAACUUCGUG